CCUACGGGAGGCAGCAGUGAGGAAUAUUGGUCAAUGGGCGCGAGCCUGAACCAGCCAAGUAGCGUGAAGGAUGACUGCCCUACGGGUUGUAAACUUCUUUUAUAAAGGCAUAAAGUGAGGCUCGUGUGCCUUUUUGUAUGUACUUUCUUACUAAGUAUCGGCUAACUCCGUGCCAGCAGACGCGGUAAUACGGAGGAUCCGAGCGUUAUCCGGAUUUAUUGGGUUUAAAGGGAGCGUAGAUGGGUUGUUAAGUCAGUUGUGAAAGUUUGCGGCUCAACCGUAAACUUGCAAUUGAUACUGGCAGUCUUGAGUACAGUUGAGGUAGGCGGAAUUUGUGGUGUAGCGGUGAAAUGCUUAGAUAGCACGAAGAACUCCGAUUGCGAAGGCAGCUUACUAAACUGCCACUGACAUUGAUGCUCGAAAGUGUGGGUAUCAAACAGGAUUAGAUACCCCAGUAGUC
rnacentral:rRNA from 1 species